rnacentral:rRNA from 1 species
GACGAACGCUGGCGGCGUGCUUAACACAUGCAAGUCGAACGGAAAGGCCCUGCUUUUGUGGGGUGCUCGAGUGGCGAACGGGUGAGUAACACUUGAGUAACCUGCCCUUGACUUUGGGUUAACUUCAGGAAACUGGGGCUAAUACCGGAUAGGAGCUCCUGCUGCAUUGUGGGGGUUGGAAAGUUUCGGCGGUUGGGGAUGGACUCGCGGCUUAUCAGCUUGUUGGUGGGGUAGUGGCUUACCAAGGCUUUGACGGAUAGCCGGCCUGAGAGGGUGACCGGCCACAAUGGGACUGAGAUACGGCCCAGACACCUACGGGAGGCAGCAGUGGGGAAUAUUGCACAAUGGGCGGAAGCCUGAUGCAGCAACGCGGCGUGCGAGAGGACGGCCUUCGGGUUGUAAACCGCUUUCGCCUAUGACGAAGCGAGAGUGACGGUAAUGGGUAAAGAAGGACCGGCUAACUACGUG